rnacentral:rRNA from 1 species
AUUGAACGCUGGCGGCAGGCCUAACACAUGCAAGUCGAGCGGAUGCAGGGAGCUUGCUCCUGGAUUCAGCGGCGGACGGGUGAGUAAUGCCUAGGAAUCUGCCUGGUAGUGGGGGAUAACGUCCGGAAACGGGCGCUAAUACCGCAUACGUCCUGAGGGAGAAAGUGGGGGAUCUUCGGACCUCGCGCUAUUAGAUGAGCCUAGGUCGGAUUAGCUGGUUGGUGGGGUAAAGGCCUACCAAGGCGACGAUCCGUAACUGGUCUGAGAGGAUGAUCAGUCACACUGGAACUGAGACACGGUCCAGACUCCUACGGGAGGCAGCAGUGGGGAAUAUUGGACAAUGGGGGAAAGCCUGAUCCAGCCAUGCCGCGUGUGUGAAGAAGGUCUUCGGAUUGUAAAGCACUUUAAGUUGGGAGGAAGGGCAGUAAGUUAAUACCUUGCUGUUUUGACGGUACCAAAAGAAUAAGCACCGGCUAACUUCGUG